CAGAGAAUAGUUUAUAUAAAAUAUUAAUUUUGGAGAUUAAUGAUAAGAAAGUUAAUCUUUUCUCUGA
rnacentral:tRNA from 1 species